rnacentral:rRNA from 1 species
AGCGAACGCUGGCGGCAGGCUUAACACAUGCAAGUCGAGCGGGCGUAGCAAUACGUCAGCGGCAGACGGGUGAGUAACACGUGGGAACGUACCUUUUGGUUCGGAACAACACAGGGAAACUUGUGCUAAUACCGGAUAAGCCCUUACGGGGAAAGAUUUAUCGCCGAAAGAUCGGCCCGCGUCUGAUUAGCUAGUUGGUGAGGUAAUGGCUCACCAAGGCGACGAUCAGUAGCUGGUCUGAGAGGAUGAUCAGCCACACUGGGACUGAGACACGGCCCAGACUCCUACGGGAGGCAGCAGUGGGGAAUAUUGGACAAUGGGCGCAAGCCUGAUCCAGCCAUGCCGCGUGAGUGAUGAAGGCCCUAGGGUUGUAAAGCUCUUUUGUGCGGGAAGAUAAUGACGGUACCGCAAGAAUAAGCCCCGGCUAACUUCGUGCCAGCAGCCGCGGUAAUACGAAGGGGGCUAGCGUUGCUCGGAAUCACUGGGCGUAAAGGGUGCGUAGGCGGGUCUUUAAGUCAGGGGUGAAAUCCUGGAGCUCAACUCCAGAACUGCCUUUGAUACUGAGGAUCUUGAGUUCGGGAGAGGUGAGUGGAACUGCGAGUGUAGAGGUGAAAUUCGUAGAUAUUCGCAAGAACACCAGUGGCGAAGGCGGCUCACUGGCCCGAUACUGACGCUGAGGCACGAAAGCGUGGGGAGCAAACAGG